rnacentral:tRNA from 1 species
GGUGAUGUGGCUCAGUGGUGGAGCACAAGCUUAAUUAGCAUGUGCAAGGCCCUGGGUUUGAUCCCCAGCACCAAAA